rnacentral:rRNA from 1 species
UGAGGAAUAUUGGUCAAUGGUCGAGAGACUGAACCAGCCAAGUCGCGUGAAGGAUGACUGCCCUAUGGGUUGUAAACUUCUUUUACAAGGGAAUAAAAUGAGAUACGUGUAUUUUAUUGCAUGUACCUUGGGAAUAAGCAUCGGCUAACUCCGUGCCAGCAGCCGCGGUAAUACGGAGGAUGCGAGCGUUAUCCGGAUUUAUUGGGUUUAAAGGGUGCGUAGGUGGGCUGUUAAGUCAGCGGUGAAAGUUUGUCGCUUAACGAUAAAAUUGCCGUUGAAACUAGUAGUCUUGAGUAUAGAUGAAGUAGGCGGAAUGCGUGGUGUAGCGGUGAAAUGCAUAGAGAUCACGCAGAACUCCGAUUGCGAAGGCAGCUUACUAAGGUAUAACUGACACUGAAGCACGAAAGCGUGGGUAUCAAACAGG